rnacentral:rRNA from 1 species
UACAGAGGGGGCAAGCGUUGUUCGGAAUUACUGGGCGUAAAGGGCUCGUAGGCGGCCUGUUAAGUCGAACGUGAAAUCCCCGGGCUCAACCCGGGAACUGCGUCCGAUACUGGCAGGCUUGAAUCCGGGAGAGGGAUGCGGAAUUCCAGGUGUAGCGGUGAAAUGCGUAGAUAUCUGGAGGAACACCGGUGGCGAAGGCGGCAUCCUGGACCGGCAUUGACGCUGAGGCGCGAAAGCCAGGGGAGCAAACGGG